rnacentral:lncRNA from 1 species
AAAAUGAUUAUCUUCCAAGUGCCUUAAAUGAGGGAAGAAGAAAAAUUGGAUCAGAGAAAGCCAUUUCAUGCAACAAGGAACAAGGAGACUCAGAAUAUUCAGAUGAGACAAUCAAUGCAAUGUGAAACUAGCACAAAACCGCUAAAAUAGAUUAUUAAUCACUUAAUCGCACCACAAGCAGUACAGUUUCAGGCCAUUGACUUCUAGAGAGUACACACACACACACACA